rnacentral:rRNA from 1 species
AACGAACGCUGGCGGCAUGCCUAACACAUGCAAGUCGAACGAAGGCUUCGGCCUGAGUGGCGCCCGGGUGCGUGACGCGUGGGAAUCUGCCCCUCGGUGCGGAAUAACAGUUAGAAAUGACUGCUAAUACCGGAUGAUGACUUCGGUCCAAAGAUGUAUCGCCGAGGGAUGAGCCCGCGUAAGAUUAGGUAGUUGGUGGGGUAAGGGCCUACCAAGCCGACGAUCUUUAGCGGGUCUGGGAGGAGGAGCAGCCACACUGGGACUGAGACACGGCCCAGACUCCUACGGGAGGCAGCAGUGGGGAAUAUUGGACAAUGGGCGAAAGCCUGAUCCAGCAAUGCCGCGUGAGUGAUGAAGGCCUUAGGGUUGUAAAGCUCUUUUACCAGGGAUGAUGAUGACAGUACCUGGAGAAUAAGCUCCGGCUAACUCCGUGCCAGCCGCCGCCGUAA